UGGUUUUUGCCGUCCCAGUCUCCAAAUGUUUUGACCGAGAGAGUUGCCAUCUUGAUUUUCAACAUCAAGUGGAAAGAUGCCGGUCACCGUUUCUCCUGCAAUUCGGUUUUCAAGAUAUGCUGCUCUGCUUGUUGGAAUAGGAUAUGGUUACAAACGAAAUGAAUAUUUAAAACCAUAUGGAGCAAAAGAUAGAAAAGUUCAAGAGAAAAAGGCAGAAGAACAAGCUGAGUUAAAACGUUUACGAGAAGAAGCAGACAAAGGGAAAAGCAUUUUUGAUUCCUGAGUGCACAAUGUGUUGGUAUAAAGUGUUUUGAAAUGACAUUUUACAAGAAUGUUCCUAUUAUAUGUUCUUGGAGCGAUAAUUAUAUUUGUCUUUUUAUUUUGAA